UGAAAUCUCUGCAAAUUAUGCAUCCCAUAAUUUUUACAGAAGAGAUAGAGGUUAUUAUAGAGGAAAUCCUUACUACAAUACCGGAAGAGGUCGACAACAAAAUUAGCAAAAUAACUCUACUCCUAGUCAUACUCAGGUUGUAACCAUCCCUAAACCAUUACCUAAAACUGAUAAACCUCCACUCUUGUCAGUUUCUCCUUCACUUGAUACCUCGUUUGGCUGUCAAAUAUGUGAUAAAAUGGGUCACUUGGCCAGAUAUUGUCCUGAAAGAGGGAAUUUUGCAGCCCAUUCAGCUGAACUUCCAAAUACUUAUGAAGACAUUCAGGAAAACUCUGUGACAGUGAGAAAUAUCAACUGGUGCUUAGACUCUGGAGCUACAUAUCAUAUGACUUCAGAAGAUUCUGCCUUUGUGGAAUAUAAGGACUACACAGGUACAAAUGGUGUUAUUGUGGGAAACGGAGAACAACUAAAAAUUGAUAAAAUUGGUAAAAUGAUAUUUAUUCUAAAUAAUAGAACUUACACAUUAAAUCAUGUUCUAUACAUUCCUAAACUUAGAAAAAAUCUGAUAUCUGCCCACAAAUUAUGUACUGAUUUAGAAUGUAGUGUAAAAUUCUUACCUUCUGGUUUUAUUAUUAAGGAUUUGAAGACCAAGGAAAUUUUAUGCAUUGGGAAUAGCAAGCAAGGACUCUUUCACUUUAAAUCAAAACUGGAAAUGGAAAAGGCAUUAACAGCUGAACUCAUAAAGACAGAUCUUUGGCAUUACAGAUUAGGUCAUCCAUCAAUGAAGGUUCUAAAGGAAUUGACACCUGAUCUGCAGUUUGAUAAAAUUGAUCUUAGUUUUAAAUUUUGUAAAUGUUGCCCUUUGGGCAAAUUACAACAAUUACCUUUUAGAAAAGUUGUAAUAAAUUCUAAACAAAUUCUAGAAAUAAUACAUAUUGAUCUUUGGGGUCCAACUCCUGAUAAAUCACUCUAUGGUUUUAAAUACUUUGCUACUAUUGUGGAUGACUUCUCUAGGUUUACUUGAGUAAUACCCCCUAGUUUAUAAAUCUGAUUUUUAUGAAAAAAUUACAAAGUUUGUAAAAGUGAUUGAAAAUCAAUAUGAUAAAAGAAAAAAAAGUAAUUCAAAGCGAUGGAGGUGGUGAAUUUAAAAAUAAUAGGAUAAAUAAAUUCCUAGAAGAAAAAGGAAAUAGGCAUAGAAUCUCUUGUCCCAAUACACCUCAACAAAAUGGGGUGAUCGAGAGAAAACAUAAAUAUAUACUUGAAACUUCAAGAUGUUUAUUUGCACAAUCUGGUGUACCUUAUAAAUUCUGGCCUGAGGUUAUCUUAACUUCAG
rnacentral:lncRNA from 1 species